AUUGAACGCUGGCGGCAGGCCUAACACAUGCAAGUCGAGCGGAAACGAGUUAUCUGAACCUUCGGGGGACGAUAACGGCGUCGAGCGGCGGACGGGUGAGUAAUGCCUAGGAAAUUGCCCUGGUGUGGGGGAUAACCAUUGGAAACGAUGGCUAAUACCGCAUAAUACCUUCGGGUCAAAGAGGGGGACCUUCGGGCCUCUCGCGUCAGGAUAUGCCUAGGUGGGAUUAGCUAGUUGGUGAGGUAAUGGCUCACCAAGGCGACGAUCCCUAGCUGGUCUGAGAGGAUGAUCAGCCACACUGGAACUGAGACACGGUCCAGACUCCUACGGGAGGCAGCAGUGGGGAAUAUUGCACAAUGGGCGCAAGCCUGAUGCAGCCAUGCCGCGUGUAUGAAGAAGGCCUUUCGGGUUUGUAAAAGUACUUUCAGCAGUGAGGAAGGUGGUACGUUAUAGCGUAU
rnacentral:rRNA from 1 species